GGGAAUGGGAGCAGCGGCUGUUUUAGAAAGAGGGGAUGCUGCUGAUGAGCUGUGCAAUGCUCGGAAAGUAGAAACCAAUAGCCUGUUAUCAAGGGAUGCUAUGUAGACGGAUCGUUGUAGAAGCAAUAAUAUUACAACGGGGGUUCCAACUCCUGUUAAACAUAACAAUAAGGCGGUUUAUUUUUAUUUUUUAUUUUUCCCAUUAGAAAAAUCGAAAUGCAGGAAUCAUAUUGGUUAUAUUUAAAUUUCUUUCAUCUCACAGUAUUUGGGCGCCUGUAAGGCUGAAGCCAGUUCCAUCCGCAUCAAUGAAAAAUAUAAAGCGUAUGGGGUUGUGUGUACCAAUGGCAUUUCGACAACCCAUCUUCUUUUAUGUUUAACUCAAUUUUUAAAUUUUA
rnacentral:misc_RNA from 1 species